UUCCAUCUAACAAAAUAACUGGGAUGUAAAACUUUGAUGCUCAAUAUCUCAGAACUACCCUAAACGGAGAUAGA